rnacentral:rRNA from 1 species
AUGACGGACAACCUAGCAAGACAAGACAGCCAUCAUGUGCUCAAUUUGCAGGUGCCACACAAGUCCUUUGCUGUGACCACUCAAACAUGUUGCCAGUUGGCGCUCCAUGUACAUGUAAUAAGUGCACCAUCUAGGUUCGCUCUGAGCUCUUGCAUUCAGACGUACAUUUUCUUAGUUUAUCCUAGUAGUUAUCUGAAAGACCACAAAAGGAAGAUACUGGUAUCAUUCUAUCAUCAAUGUGUUUUACUUGACACUAAACUUGUUAAUCAUAUGAUCAGACAGAUUUCACAUAGUAUAAAACAGCUGCAAUGUGAUUAA